rnacentral:rRNA from 1 species
GGUUAAGCGACUAAGCGUACACGGUGGAUGCCCUGGCAGUCAGAGGCGAUGAAGGACGUGCUAAUCUGCGAAAAGCGCCGGCGAGGUGAUAUGAACCUUUGACCCGGCGAUGUCCGAAUGGGGAAACCCAGUGCAAUCCGUUGCACUAUCGUUAACUGAAUACAUAGGUUAACGAGGCGAACCGGGGGAACUGAAACAUCUAAGUACCCCGAGGAAAAGAAAUCAACCGAGAUUCCCCCAGUAGCGGCGAGCGAACGGGGAGCAGCCCGGAGUCUGAAUCAGCUUGUGUGUUAGUGGAACGGUCUGGAAAGUCCGACGGUACAGGGUGAUAGUCCCGUACACGAAAGCACACAUGCUGUGAACUCGAAGAGUAGGGCGGGACACGUGGUAUCCUGUCUGAAUAUGGGGGGACCAUCCUCCAAGGCUAAAUACUCCUGACUGACCGAUAGUGAACCAGUACCGUGAGGGAAAGGCGAAAAGAACCCCGGCGAGGGGAGUGAAAAAGAACCUGAAACCGUGUACGUACAAGCAGUGGGAGCCUCUUUAUGGGGUGACUGCGUACCUUUUGUAUAAUGGGUCAGCGACUUAUAUUCUGUAGCAAGGUUAACCGUAUAGGGGAGCCGAAGGGAAACCGAGUCUUAACUGGGCGUUAAGUUGCAGGGUAUAGACCCGAAACCCGGUGAUCUAGCCAUGGGCAGGUUGAAGGUUGGGUAACACUAACUGGAGGACCGAACCGACUAAUGUUGAAAAAUUAGCGGAUGACCUGUGGCUGGGGGUGAAAGGCCAAUCAAACCGGGAGAUAGCUGGUUCUCCCCGAAAGCUAUUUAGGUAGCGCCUCGUGAACUCAUCUUCGGGGGUAGAGCACUGUUUCGGCUAGGGGGCCAUCCCGGCUUACCAACCCGAUGCAAACUACGAAUACCGAAGAAUGUUAUCACGGGAGACACACGGCGGGUGCUAACGUCCGUCGUGAAGAGGGAAACAACCCAGACCGCCAGCUAAGGUCCCAAAGUCAUGGUUAAGUGGGAAACGAUGUGGGAAGGCACAGACAGCCAGGAUGUUGGCUUAGAAGCAGCCAUCAUUUAAAGAAAGCGUAAUAGCUCACUGGUCGAGUCGGCCUGCGCGGAAGAUGUAACGGGGCUAAACCAUGCACCGAAGCUGCGGCAGCGACACUAUGUGUUGUUGGGUAGGGGAGCGUUCUGUAAGCCGUUGAAGGUGUGCUGUGAGGCAUGCUGGAGGUAUCAGAAGUGCGAAUGCUGACAUAAGUAACGAUAAAGCGGGUGAAAAGCCCGCUCGCCGGAAGACCAAGGGUUCCUGUCCAACGUUAAUCGGGGCAGGGUGAGUCGACCCCUAAGGCGAGGCCGAAAGGCGUAGUCGAUGGGAAACAGGUUAAUAUUCCUGUACUUGGUGUUACUGCGAAGGGGGGACGGAGAAGGCUAUGUCAGCCGGGCGACGGUUGUCCCGGUUUAAGCAUGUAGGCGGAGGUUCCAGGUAAAUCCGGUACCUUGUUAACGCUGAGGUGUGAUGACGAGGCACUACGGUGCUGAAGUGAUAAAUGCCCUGCUUCCAGGAAAAGCCUCUAAGCAUCAGGUAACACGAAAUCGUACCCCAAACCGACACAGGUGGUCAGGUAGAGAAUACCAAGGCGCUUGAGAGAACUCGGGUGAAGGAACUAGGCAAAAUGGUGCCGUAACUUCGGGAGAAGGCACGCUGAUGUGUAGGUGAAGCCCCUGCGGGCGGAGCUGAAAUCAGUCGAAGAUACCAGCUGGCUGCAACUGUUUAUUAAAAACACAGCACUGUGCAAACACGAAAGUGGACGUAUACGGUGUGACGCCUGCCCGGUGCCGGAAGGUUAAUUGAUGGGGUUAGCGGCAACGCGAAGCUCUUGAUCGAAGCCCCGGUAAACGGCGGCCGUAACUAUAACGGUCCUAAGGUAGCGAAAUUCCUUGUCGGGUAAGUUCCGACCUGCACGAAUGGCGUAAUGAUGGCCAGGCUGUCUCCACCCGAGACUCAGUGAAAUUGAACUCGCUGUGAAGAUGCAGUGUACCCGCGGCAAGACGGAAAGACCCCGUGAACCUUUACUAUAGCUUGACACUGAACACUGGUCCUUGAUGUGUAGGAUAGGUGGGAGGCUUUGAAGCGUGGACGCCAGUCUGCGUGGAGCCAACCUUGAAAUACCACCCUUUAAUGGCUGGUGUUCUAACGUAGACCCGUAAUCCGGGUUGCGGACAGUGUCUGGUGGGUAGUUUGACUGGGGCGGUCUCCUCCCAAAGAGUAACGGAGGAGCACGAAGGUUGGCUAAUCCUGGUCGGACAUCAGGAGGUUAGUGCAAUGGCAUAAGCCAGCUUGACUGCGAGCGUGACGGCGCGAGCAGGUGCGAAAGCAGGUCAUAGUGAUCCGGUGGUUCUGAAUGGAAGGGCCAUCGCUCAACGGAUAAAAGGUACUCCGGGGAUAACAGGCUGAUACCGCCCAAGAGUUCAUAUCGACGGCGGUGUUUGGCACCUCGAUGUCGGCUCAUCACAUCCUGGGGCUGAAGUAGGUCCCAAGGGUAUGGCUGUUCGCCAUUUAAAGUGGUACGCGAGCUGGGUUUAGAACGUCGUGAGACAGUUCGGUCCCUAUCUGCCGUGGGCGCUGGAGAAUUGAGGGGGGCUGCUCCUAGUACGAGAGGACCGGAGUGGACGCAUCACUGGUGUUCGGGUUGUCAUGCCAAUGGCACUGCCCGGUAGCUAAAUGCGGAAGAGAUAAGUGCUGAAAGCAUCUAAGCACGAAACUUGCCCCGAGAUGAGUUCUCCCUGAGACCUUGAGUCUCCUGAAGGAACGUUGAAGACGACGACGUUGAUAGGUCGGGUGUGUAAGCGCAGCGAUGCGUUGAGCUAACCGAUACUAAUGAACCGUGAGGCUUAACCUU